rnacentral:rRNA from 1 species
AUUGAACGCUGGCGGCAGGCCUAACACAUGCAAGUCGGACGGUAGCACAGAGAGCUUGCUCUUGGGUGACGAGUGGCGGACGGGUGAGUAAUGUCUGGGGAUCUGCCCGAUAGAGGGGGAUAACCACUGGAAACGGUGGCUAAUACCGCAUAACGUCGCAAGACCAAAGAGGGGGACCUUCGGGCCUCUCACUAUCGGAUGAACCCAGAUGGGAUUAGCUAGUAGGCGGGGUAAUGGCCCACCUAGGCGACGAUCCCUAGCUGGUCUGAGAGGAUGACCAGCCACACUGGAACUGAGACACGGUCCAGACUCCUACGGGAGGCAGCAGAGGGGAAUAUUGCACAAUGGGCGCAAGCCUGAUGCAGCCAAGCCGCGUGUAUGAAGAAGGCCUUCGGGUUGUAAAGUACUUUCAGCGGGGAGGAAGGCGGUGAGGUUAAUAACCGCGUCGAUUGACGUUACCCGCAGAAGAAGCACCGGCUAACUCCGUGCCAGCCGCCGCGGUAA